ACUCGGCUCCGUUCAGGCGGUGCAGUCACUUCCUUCACCUCAGUGUCCCUGUUUGUGCAAAUGAGGUGACUAUUGGCGCCGACCUACUUCCCAGGCAGUUUUGAAGAGAAGUGGCAAACAUUGAAGGGCGCACACUCUCCUUCCCCAAGCUCCCUCCCUCCCCACGUGUGCACCCAGAAGGAAAUAAAAGCCGUAAUUUGCACUGGCGAGUCGGCCCGCCUCGUCGAGGGUUCCGCUGAGCUGCUCACAAGGGCGUGCGGAGGCCCGCGGCCGGCCCUGGCCCCUGUGGUGGCAGCAGCUGGCUGGCUUCCCGGGCGGCUACCUCCAGCUGCAGCUGUCGGUGCUAUUUGCAGCUCUCCACAUCCUGAGAGCUGGACGCCGAGGACCGCUCCCUGGAGGGCGUGCGUAAAAUGCAGCAGCGGAGCGGUGAGGAGAUUACCGGAAAAACUGGGAGCGGAGUCAGGCUCGUUCUGGAGCAGGGAGAGGCUUGGGAAGUUGCGAAACGUUGACCUGCAGGGUCUUGAGGAACUGUCGGCCUGGGCUGUCCCCGUGGGUCAUUGAACAUUAAUCAGCCACCAGUCCUCGUCCAAGCCAACCGAAAUAGAGUCAGCAGGCAGAAUGACAAAUACAGUUUGAAAGGGAAAGAACUUACUCUUAUUCUCUCCUUGGAAAGGCCUUUCCAGACUCUCGAACUCACGCCUGUCACAUUACCCUGUUGUGUUAUCUUUGUGGGCCUGCGCAGCACCUGAAAUGAUCUGUCUUAGGGCCGAGUACAAUGCCCAGCUCGUUUGUAAAUGAGUGAAGGAGUCCCCUACUAGCAGGCUGCCUACUCAUCAAUCAAGUAGUUGUUGGGUUUCUCAUUUUUACCUUUGGAGAUGUUGUUUUCGACCUACGGGAAGGAAUUGGAUCUAUUUGAGGAGAUGGGGUCUCACUGUGUUGCCGAGGAUGGAGUACAGUGGCUAUUCACAGGCACAGUCAUUGUGCACUACAUCCUGGAACUCCUGGGCUCAAGCAAUCCUUCUGCCUCAGCCUCCCAAGUAGCUGGGACUAUAGACACACACCACCACACUCAGCAAAAGUGACAAUCGUUUCUAAUACAGACAUCCACACCUGGACAUACUGUGAAAAUUAUAUUCAUUGGGCAUAUUAGUGUCCGUUCUUUCCAAGAUCUGAGUUCAUAAUGUUUUCUUCUGUAAUUGUAAUGAAAUAUCACCAUUUCUUGCUAGCAUUAUACCAAAUCCCUCUAGGCAACUGGGUAGCAGGCUAUAUGCCAACCUAGGUUUUUGGAGAUGACUUGUAUCUUGUUUGCUAUUAGAGCCAACAUGUUAGAAUUUGUGAUUUGUCACAGAGUAGAAGACGAGUUCACUCAAGAAGCACUUAUUUAUGAGCACCUACACAGGUGAUAGAACAGUCAAAAGACAGGAGUUCUGGCCCUUCUGGAACUGACAAUCUUACUAUAAAAAUAAAUGUUACCACAUCACUUGAACAAAGGCACAAUUAUGCAAUUUGAGUUGUGUUUUGACUCCCUCCCCACUACCUUGUUUUUUUGUUUUUGUUUUUUGUUUGUUUUGUUUUGUUUUUAUGCUGGAGGUGUUGUGGGAGAUGGAGUUUUGCUCUUGUCACCCAGGCUGGAGUGUGAUGGCACGAUCUCAGCUCACUGCAACCUCUGCCUCCCAGGUUCAAGUGAUUCUCCUGCCCCAGCCUCCUGAGUAGCUGGGAUUACAGGCAUACACCACCACGCCCGGCUAAUUUUUUGUAUUUUCAGUAGAGAUGGGGUUUCACCAUGUUAGUCAGGCUGGUCUCGAACUCCUGACCUCAGGUGAUCUGCCUGCCUCAGCUUCCCAAAGUGCUGGGAUUACAGGUGUGAGCCACUGCACCCGGCCCCUCCUUGCUGUCUUAAUAGAAAGUGGAAAAUAGAAAUCUUCUGCACAAGGCCUUUGGUUUGAAUGGAACAUGCCUAGAGAUAGGGAACUGGAAUCCAACACCAUGGCCUACAGAUCUUUGGAGACUAAAAGAGAAAAAAUCCAGGAAAGAAAAAAAAAAAACCAAAAAACGGCUGCCAUAGCUAUUGGCCUCAUUGGACAGGCCUGGGGGAUGUGCACAGACCCUGAAGGUGGCCGGAGCUGACCAGCUUCCUAUUGCACUCUUCUGGGUGGCCCAGGCACCCAGUUGCAUUGGCUGUGGCCACUGAGAAAGGAUUGAGUCAGGCUGAGCCAUGGGCAAUGACAGAGGAGAGGGGAUCAGCAGAGCCUACCUGAAAGCAAAGGAGAAAUGGGUCGGUCACCUCAUCGCAGAAUUUACAGAUGAAGGGGACAAACUUGUUACCUGAGGGUUUCCUUCAUGCCUUGGAGUUUCUCUGAAAGAAAAGACAGCUGAGCAUUUGCCCUGUUUUUGUUUUAACAUUUUUACACUUUCGAGUCGUGUCAUCAAGUUUUAAGCUAGUAAGAGGACCAUAUACCGAACGGUACAAUAUCAUAGUUCUUGUAGCAGCCACAUUUUGAUGAAUAAAAUUUCUUUUAAAAUCUCUUUUUUAAAAAUGAAGAGACUUCUUC